rnacentral:tRNA from 1 species
UGAGGAUAUAGCUAAGUGGCAAAGUAUUUGUCUAGUAUGUGGGAGGCCCUGGGUUCAAUCCCCACUACUUAA